AGCGGCCUGGGGCGUUAUGAGCCAUUGUUCCGGGGAUCCAAGCCCUACCACCACGCCCCCCCUUCCUGCGGUCACCCACCGCGCGCUGGGGGGUUGCGCUCGUUAAUCAUUACUGGGCAGCUAGCUCGGCUUCCGACGGAGGAGCCGGUCUGGCGCGGUUGCCGGGUCUAGGUGCAUUCUGGGCGCGCGGAGCCGGGCGGGCUGUCCCCACCAGCGGCGUGUCGUGGGGAAGUCCUACCGCAAGGCCUGCGGGGGCCCGCGCAGGCUCCGCGAUCAGCUACGGUAGACUAGAGAGGCCUUUCAGAGGGGAGCCUUCGGUCUCACCCUGACAACCCCCUCCACUGCGGGUCGCAGGGCACUAGCGAGCACCAGCUGCGCCUGCGCGCUGCGCUCCUGGCCAGCACCCGGUCGCCCCCGCCUCCUGGCUCAGCUGGCGCUGGGCGUUGGGCUACCCUGAGGUCGGGUGGGGGGCCGAAAGCGGGCCUCUGGGGUUCCGACGCGGCCUGGGGGUGGGUAAGAGGCGAGGAGGAGUGCCUGCCGGGACCCCUUGCUCCACGGAGGGCUGGGAGUCGCAGGGAACGUCUCGGCCGCUCUGCAGGGCCAGCAGGCCUUCCCACCCCAAGACGUUCCAGUCACUGGGUCCUGGGGGCGAGGCAAGACGCUCUGCGGUAGAACUGCGAAGGGUAAAAUCUUUCAGCCUGGGAUCUCCAAGAGAAGAGACAGGGAGGGAAGUCGGUUGUUACUUCGCUAUUGUAAAAGUGCACUGCCUGGGCAUGAAUUUGGGAGGAUAACCGCAACACUUCUCAAACCUGAAGACAGAGACGCUUAGUUUGACCUAUGCUUCCGAAUCCUACAUCAACGGAAUGUCAGUUCUUCUCAGCACUUUCUAGAAAAUGCCAUUCGGACCACUCGGUUCUAAGAAGAGGGGCGUAAAGGGUCUUUGAAGCGUGGUGGCCAGGGUUGAAAUUGUGCCCCAAUCACUUCCUAAACGCGUGGCCUUGGUUAAGUCAUCUUUUGUAAACCUCAUCUUCCAUGUGGCAUAAUGAAGAUAAUAAAAAUAUCCACUUCGUAGGU